GACGAACGCUGGCGGCGUGCUUAACACAUGCAAGUCGAACGGAAAGGCCCUGCUUUUGUGGGGUGCUCGAGUGGCGAACGGGUGAGUAACACGUGAGUAACCUGCCCUUGACUUUGGGAUAACUUCAGGAAACUGGGGCUAAUACCGGAUAGGAGCUCCUGCUGCGUGGUGGGGGUGGGAAGGUUCGGCGGUUGGGGAUGGACUCGCGGGUUAUCAGCUUGUUGGGGGGGGAGUGGCUUACCAAGGCUUUGACGGGUAGCCGGCCUGAGAGGGGGACCGGCCACAUUGGGACUGAGAUACGGCCCAGACUCCUACGGGAGGCAGCAGUGGGGAAUAUUGCACAAUGGGCGGAAGCCUGAUGCAGCAACGCCGCGUGCGGGAUGACGGCCUUCGGGUUGUAAACCGCUUUCGCCUGUGACGAAGCGUGAGUGACGGUAAUGGGUAAAGAAGCACCGGCUAACUACGUG
rnacentral:rRNA from 1 species